GACGAACCGUCCAAACGUUAUUCGGAAUUACUGGGCUUAAAGGGUGCGUAGGCGGCUCUGCAAGUUGGGUGUGAAAUCCCUCGGCUCAACCGAGGAAUGGCGCCCAAAACUGUGGAGCUCGAGGGAGACAGAGGUGAGUGGAACUUGUGGUGGAGCGGUGAAAUGCGUUGAUAUCACAAGGAACACCGGUGGCGAAAGCGGCUCACUGGGUCUCUUCUGACGCUGAGGCACGAAAGCUGGGGGAGCGAACGGGAUUAGAUACCCGUGUAGUCCCUGA
rnacentral:rRNA from 1 species